AGAAAAGAACUCAUCCACAGUGUAGUAGUGCACUGUUCCACACUUACUGAGAAGAGCUGUUUGGAAAAUAGGGAUUGCAACGUUGUGAUAGAGCAAGGUGCAAAGCUACAAAUGUAAUAUCAAACUACUUUAAGGUCGGACUCUCUUCAACUCAAGUUCACAUGGUGGAUCCAGCCUGUCCUGCAGAGCAGAACAGAAAUGCUCUGACCAUCUGCCAGCCCAGGCACAUCCCACUGAAGUUAUCAAAAUGUUUCCAGGCACAGCAGAGCAAGAUGAUAAGGAGCACAGCAAACAGUAGAAGCAAAAAGCUGCCACUAACAAGCAAUAGACACUAAUAUACAGUAAGGCGAGCAAACACAUGAGCCUGCCAGUUAGUAGCUAAACAGACAUAAUAGCUAUAAAUUUGGUUUAGCACACUCUAAUUAAAUUUGCUGUUAUAUCAAACCCUUUGAGCCUCUGGCUGCCAAAAAAGACUGCUGUGAGUUAACAGCAGUAGGCAGCUGAACAUCACCCAGCUACUUGCUCACUCCUCACCAGAAGGAUGGGGAACACAAUUGGAAGGUCGCACCUUUCUACACAAAGCUGGAGGUCAAUGAGUUCUGACUUCUGCAAGAGGAUUUCCAUAUGAGUAAUUGCCAAGCAGUUCCUAUGUCCUUGGAGCAAUGCCCUGUCGUGAUGCCUUGGCCUUGUGCGGUGAAAAAGGGAAAAAUCCUGCAGCUGCCAAUGAAGCAGAGUCCCCAGAGGUGACCAGGGUAGGAUUUGCCAAGGUUGCUUUCUGCUGGGUUGAGACUUACGUAGAUUGUUGUUCUUUCUGCUGACCGAAUGCUUCUGGAAGCAUAAUGCUGCAUCUCAGUGGGAUUGUUUUAUCUGAAGAGGUCUUGAUGGAAAAUACAAUGAUGCUUUGGGAGCUGUUAUUGUAGCUCAGACAGAAUUUAAAUGAAGAUUCCUACAGCACACCCUCAUAGGAGUUACAUUUUUUUUCUUUUUUUCUUUUAAUCAUUUAAAGUUGAGUUUAAGGAUUAGCUGAAAAGGGGGGCAGGGAACCAUGUUUAUGUAAACAAAUGGAAAUUGCUUUUUACAUGCUAAUUGCAAUUACACAAUUCUGUUUUCCCAUUUCAUUAAUACCAAACCGUUUAUUUUCACAGCUACUAUGAAAUAAAUCACAAUUGUUUUUAGCUGUUCUACAUAAUGAACAAAAAUAUGACCGCUGUUGGCGUUUGCAUGAGGAAUUAUAUUUUUGCUCAAUAAACAGAUAAUUCUUAC